rnacentral:rRNA from 1 species
AGUGAACGCUGGCGGUAGGCCUAACACAUGCGAGUCGAACGGCAGCACAGUAAGAGCUUGCUCUUACGGGUGGCGAGUGGCGGACGGGUGAGGAAUACAUCGGAAUCUACUUUUUCGUGGGGGAUAACGUAGGGAAACUUACGCUAAUACCGCAUACGACCUACGGGUGAAAGCAGGGGAUCUUCGGACCUUGCGCGAUUGAAUGAGCCGAUGUCGGAUUAGCUAGUUGGCGGGGUAAAGGCCCACCAAGGCGACGAUCCGUAGCUGGUCUGAGAGGAUGAUAGGCCACACUGGAACUGAGACACGGUCCAGACUCCUACGGGAGGCAGCAGUGGGGAAUAUUGGACAAUGGGCGCAAGCCUGAUCCAGCCAUACCGCGUGGGUGAAGAAGGCCUUCGGGUUGUAAAGCCCUUUUGUUGGGAAAGAAAAGCAGCAGGUUAAUACCCCGCUGUUCUGACGGUACCCAAAGAAUAAGCACCGGCUAACUUCGUG